GAUGAACGCUAGCUACAGGCUUAACACAUGCAAGUCGAGGGGCAGCGCAGUGUAGCAAUACAUGGGCGGCGACCGGCGCACGGGUGCGUAACGCGUAUCCAACCUUCCCGUUACUCAGGGAUAGCCUUCCGAAAGGGAGAUUAAUACCUGAUGGUGUUCAAAUUCCGCAUGUUAUUUGAACUAAAGAUUUAUCGGUAACGGAUGGGGAUGCGUGACAUUAGAUAGUAGGCGGGGUAACGGCCCACCUAGUCUACGAUGUCUAGGGGUUCUGAGAGGAAGGUCCCCCCACACUGGAACUGAGACACGGUCCAGACUCCUACGGGAGGCAGCAGUGAGGAAUAUUGGUCAAUGGUCGGAAGACUGAACCAGCCAAGUAGCGUGAAGGAUGAAGGUUCUAUGGAUUGUAAACUUCUUUUAUACGGGAAUAAAACCUCCCACGUGUGGGAGCUUGUAUGUACCGUAUGAAUAAGCAUCGGCUAACUCCGUGCCAGCAG
rnacentral:rRNA from 1 species